GCCAGCAAGGCCGAGGAGAAUGGCUCCGACAGCUUCAUGCACUCCAUGGACCCACAGCUGGUGUGGCAAAUGGAGACCACUCAGAGCCUGGUGGACUCCUAUGUGGCCAUUGUCAACAAGACCGUGUGGGACCUCAUGGUUGGUCUCACGCCCAAGACCACCAUGCACCUCAUGAUCAACAACAUACCAAGGAGUUCAUCUUCUCAGAGCUGCUGGCCAAACUGUACUCAUGUGGAGACGAGAACAUGCUGAUGGAGGAUUCCACGGAGCAGGCAAAAUGGUGCAACGAGACGCUGUGCAUGCACCAUGUGCUGAGGGAGGCGCCCAACAUCAUCGGCGACAUCAAAACAACCAUGGUCAGCAUGCCCACGGGGGCCCAUGGAUGACUCCUGGCUGUAAGUGCAGAGCGUCCCAGCCCGACGCAGGUACCAGGGCUGGCCCCCAUGGCCCCAAAGCGCCCCAGCCUCCAUGGCU
rnacentral:lncRNA from 1 species